CCUACGGGAGACAGCAGUGGGGAAUAUUGGACAAUGGGGGGAACCCUGAUCCAGCGACGCCGCGUGAGUGAAGAAGGAUUUCGGGAUGUAAAGCUCUAUCAGCAGGGAAGAAAAUGACGGUACCUGAGUAAGAAGCCACGGCUAACUCCGUGCCAGCAGCCGCGGUAAUACGCAGGGGGCAAGCGUUAUCCGGAUUUACUGGGUGUAAAGGGAGCGUAGACGGUGCAGCAAGUCUGAUGUGAAAGGUCGGGGCCCAACCCCGGGACUGCAGGGGAAACUGUUGAACUGGAGUACAGGAGAGGUAAGCGGAAUUCCUAGUGUAGCGGUGACAUGCGUAGAUAUUAGGAGGAACACCAGUGGCGAAGGCGGCUUACUGGACUGUAACUGACGUUGAGGCUCGAAAGCGUGGGGAGCAAACAGGAUUAGAUACCCGUGUAGUC
rnacentral:rRNA from 1 species